GAUGAACGCUGGCGGCGUGCCUAACACAUGCAAGUCGAGCGAACGGACCAGAAGUUUGCUUCUCUGAUGUUAGCGGCCGACGGGAGAGUAACAUGUGGAUAACCUACCUAUAAGACUGGUAUAAUUAUGGGAAACGGGCGCUAAUAGCGGAUAAUAUUUUGCACUGCAUGGGUCAAAAGUCAAAUACGGUCUUUCUGUCAGUUAUAGAUGCAUCCGCGCUGCAUUAGCUAGUUGGUAAGGUAACGGAUUAGCAAGGCUACGAUGCAUAACCGACCUCAAAGGGUGGUCGGCCAGACUGGAAGUGAGACAGGGUACCGACUCCUGGGGUAAGCAGCAGCACGAAAUCCUCCGCAAUGGGGGAGAGCCUGACGGAGCGACACGGCGUAAGUGAUGAAGGAGUUCGGAUCGGAAAACUCUGUUAGUAGGGGGAAACAAAUGUGUAAGUAACUGUGCAGAUAUUGACGGUACCUGGUCAAGAAGCCACGGCUAACUACGUG
rnacentral:rRNA from 1 species